rnacentral:rRNA from 1 species
GGAUUAGAUACCCUGGUAGUCCACGCAGUAAACGAUGAGUGCUAUGAGUUUGUGCUGUAGAGCAUGGGUUCAGAAGUUAACACGGUAAGCACUCCGCCUGGGUAGUACGAUCGCAAGAUUAAAACUCAAAGGAAUUGACGGGGACCCGCACAAGCGGUGGAGCAUGCGGUUUAAUUCGAUGCUACGCGAAGAACCUUACCAGUUUUUGAAUGGUGACAGAGGCUGUAGGAGACUAUGGUUGCAUUAAGUUGGGUCACACACAGGUGUUGCAUGGCUGUCGUCAGCUCGUGCCG